CAGCAGCCGCGGGAAUACCGAGGGUGCGAGCGUUAAUCGGAUUUACUGGGCGUAAAGCGUGCGUAGGCGGCUUCUUAAGUCGGAUGUGAAAUCCCUGAGCUUAACUUAGGAAUUGCAUUCGAUACUGGGAAGCUAGAGUAUGGGAGAGGAUGGUAGAAUUCCAGGUGUAGCGGUGAAAUGCGUAGAGAUCUGGAGGAAUACCGAUGGCGAAGGCAGCCAUCUGGCCGAAUACUGACGCUGAGGUACGAAAGCAUGGGGAGCAAACAGGAUUAGAUACCCGUGUAGUCCCUGUCUCUUAUAC
rnacentral:rRNA from 1 species